GACGCCGGGGCCGGACGGCCAGGCGGCCGGCUGCAACCCGGCGGAAGUGGGUUCGACUCCCACCGGCGUCU
rfam:Planctomycetales bacterium 71-10 scnpilot_p_inoc_scaffold_449, whole genome shotgun sequence.